rnacentral:rRNA from 1 species
UACAGAGGUCUCAACCGUUGUUCGGAUUCAUUGGGCGUAAAGGGUGCGUAGGCGGUCGGGUAAGUCGGAUGUGAAAUCUCAGGGCUCAACCCUGAAACUGCAUUCGAUACUGCCUGGCUAGGGUACUGGAGAGGAGACUGGAAUUUACGGUGUAGCAGUGAAAUGCGUAGAUAUCGUAAGGAAGACCAGUGGCGAAGGCGAGUCUCUGGACAGUUACCGACGCUGAGGCACGAAGGUCAGGGGGAGCAAACGGG